rnacentral:rRNA from 1 species
AACGUAGGAGACAAACGUUAUCCGGAGUUACUGGGCGUAAAGCGUGCGUAGACGGUUAUCUAAGUCGGAUGUGAAAGCCCCGGGCUCAACCUGGGAAUUGCAUUCGAGACUGAAUAGCUAGGGUGCGGUAGAGGGAAGCGGAAUUUCCGGUGUAGCGGUGAAAUGCGUAGAUAUCGGAAGGAACAUCAGUGGCGAAAGCGGCUUCCUGGACCAGCACCGACGUUCAGGCACGAAAGCGUGGGGAGCAAACAGG